rnacentral:rRNA from 1 species
UACGAAGGGUGCAAGCGUUACUCGGAAUUACUGGGCGUAAAGGGCUCGUAGGCGGUCUGUCGCGUCGGGAGUGAAAACUCAGGGCUUAACCCCCGAGCCUGCAGUGGAUACGGGCAGACUAGAGGUAGGUAGGGGAGAAUGGAAUUCCCGGUGUAGCGGUGAAAUGCGCAGAUAUCGGGAGGAACACCGGUGGCGAAGGCGGUUCUCUGGGCCUUACCUGACGCUGAGGAGCGAAAGCGUGGGGAGCGAACAGG